CCUACGGGCGGCAGCAGUGGGGAAUAUUGGACAAUGGGCGAAAGCCUGAUCCAGCCAUGCCGCGUGUGUGAAGAAGGCCUUCGGGUUGUAAAGCACUUUCAGUGGGGAAGAAAGCCUUGGGGCUAAUACCCUCGAGGAAGGACAUCACCCACAGAAGAAACACCGGCUAACUCCGUGCCAGCAGCCGCGGUAAUACGGAGGGUGCGGGCGUUAAUCGGAAUUACUGGGCGUAAAGCGCGCGUAGGCGGUCUGAUAAGCCGGUUGUGAAAGCCCCGGGCUCAACCUGGGAACGGCAUCCGGAACUGUCAGGCUAGAGUGCAGGAGAGGAAGGUAGAAUUCCCGGUGUAGCGGUGAAAUGCGUAGAGAUCGGGAGGAAUACCAGUGGCGAAGGCGGCCUUCUGGACUGACACUGACGCUGAGGUGCGAAAGCGUGGGUAGCAAACAGGAUUAGAUACCCUUGUAGUC
rnacentral:rRNA from 1 species